UACGAACCGUACAAACGUUAUUCGGAAUCACUGGGCUUAAAGGGUGCGUAGGCGGCCAUGUAAGUGAGGUGUGAAAUCCCUCGGCUCAACCGAGGAACUGCGCUUCAUACUGCAUGGCUUGAGGGAGACAGGGGUAAGCGGAACUGAUGGUGGAGCGGUGAAAUGCGUUGAUAUCAUCAGGAACACCGGUGGCGAAAGCGGCUUACUGGGUCUCUUCUGACGCUAAGGUACGAAAGCUAGGGUAGCGAACGGG
rnacentral:rRNA from 1 species